rnacentral:ncRNA from 1 species
CCAUUUAACGGUCAACUCAGAACUGGCACGGACUAGGAGAAUCCGACUGUCUAAUUAAAACAAAGCAUUGCGAUGGCCCCAGCGGGUGUUGACGCAAUGUGAUUUCUGCCCAGUGCUCUGAAUGUCAACGUGAAGAAAUUCAAGCAAGCGCGGGUAAACGGCGGGAGUAACUAUGACACCACCGACGCAGGGGACAUCACCCUACUACAACCACUCCUCCGUUCCGGCACGAAUGCGGAAAUCAUCCUGGAAGAAUUUCUUCUCCGCAUUCGCGGUGAACGUGGAACAACAACACGACGUGCUACGACCCCCCAACCCCCAAGGGCUCCCGCUCAACAACAAUCGAAGCGACGAGCCAGAAUCAACCGCUAUCGACUGGCCCAGGAGCUCUACAAAACCAACAGAGCCAUGCUUGCCCAGAAGGUCAUCGAUGGUCUUGACUUACAGCAACCACCGACCACCCCCCACCCCGAUGACCUGUAUGGAGCCUACUCCCGGAUCUUUGCCGCGCCUGACACCAACAAGGGCCUUCCUACAUUGUGUGACACCAAACGGUCAUCACACAAUCUUCUCUACGCUCCCGUCACUGAAGAGGACAUUCGGAAUCAAUUACGCAGUAAGAUGUCUGAUUCCGCUGGUCCAGAUGGUAUGCGCCUGCGCGACGUCAGCCAAAUAUCCACACGACGUCUGGCUCUUUUAUUCAACUUUAUGUUGUUUACCGGAGCCUCCCCUUCCACACUGCGUAGAUGCCGUACCACCUUGAUACCAAAAGGGAUGGCCAACUUAGAAAACAUCAACAACUGGAGGCCCAUCACCGUCGCCCCACUCUUGGUCAGAAUUUUUCACCGUAUUCUGGCCAAAAGGCUCGCCACCCUUCCUCUCAGUAGGUCCCAAAGAGGCUUUGUCUCUCUUGACGGCACCCUUGCCAACGCCGUCACUUUGUGGACCCUCAUCCAACACCAACGGGAGCACACCAGGCCCUACCACGUUACAACCCUCGACCUGCACAAGGCCUUCGACACAGUCCCCCACCCCGUCAUUGAGCGGGCCCUCGUUCGUUUGGGCGUGGACUCCCGCUUCAUCAGAUACAUCAUCUCAUCUCUGACGGGCUGUUCCACCACCAUCUCUUGCGGCCAACACACCUCGCCGCCAAUCAACAUCGAACGAGGCGUCAAGCAGGGAGAUCCCAUCUCUCCCCUUCUCUUCAACGCCGUCAUGGACGAGCUCUUGUGCAGACUCGAAACUUCAAAGGCCGGCAUCCCUUUCCGGGAAAACAACUACAGCAUCCUGGGCUAUGCGGACGACCUGGUUCUCAUGUCGACCUCCCUUGACGAUCAACAACACCUUGUCAGGAUGGUCGACCGCUUCAUCCAAGCGAGGGGCAUGCAACUCAACAGCAACAAGUGCACGCACCUCAGCGUCAAUUUAUUACCGGCAAGAAAGAAACUGUACACAUCCACCAAGAGCCGUGUAUACAUUGGCGCUGAACCCAUUCCACAAAUUGGCCCUGAAGAACUGUUCAGGUACCUUGGGUUUCGCUUCCACCCAACUGGAACCCAAACGCCCAGCCCCACCGACAUCUCCACCGCCCUGCAGCGAAUACAGAAAGCCCCGUUGAAACCGUGGCAAAAACUGGAACUGGUAACAACUUACCUUCUACCCAAGUUUUUUUAUCAGUUUCAGGUCCCCUCUGUAACCGGACGAACACUCGGUCUGGUAGACAAGGCCAUCCGCCGUACAGUGAAGACGAUCCUCCAUCUGCCAUCUUCAUCAUGCAACGCCUUCCUGUACGCCGAGACCAAGGCCGGCGGGCUCGGACUUCCCUGCUUCACCGCCCGCAUGCCAGACAUUCUCCUUAAACGGCUACACAAUCUCACACGAUGCGACGAUCCACUACUCCUUCCCAUCCUGGAUUCGCCGCACGUACUCAAACUAGCCGAACGCCUGGCUACUUUGUGUCAGCCGUAUGGAUUACAGAGGGAGCAACGGGGCUUCUGGCGCAAUCGCCUUGAAGCUUCCGCCCCAUGCUCCGGAUUGGCCGCUCACUCAUCUCCGCCACAAGUCAACAACUGGAUCCGUUCCCCUCCAUCCUUCUGGGACGGCUCCACCUACAUUAAGGCCAUCCAACUGCGAGCUGGGGUUUUACCAACUGUGGGAGGCCUCCACAAUCAACGCCUCCCCUUCGAACAACGCCGCUGCAGAGCCGGUUGUCGUGCCGUUGAGACCACCACACACAUUCUCCAAAAGUGUCCAUUGACACAUUACGAACGUAUCCGGAGACACGACAACCUGGUGGGGAUAAUGUCGGACGCAGCUCGGAAAAAUGGCUGGGACACUAGGACCGAACCCAGGUUCCGGACCCCUGACGGCCGUCUUAGGAAGCCGGACCUCCUCUUCGUCAAGGACUCCAUCGCCAUCGUUGCCGAUGUUGGCGUUUCAUGGGAGCGACCGGAGCCACUCGACGUCGCACAUUCCAACAAAAUUGCGACGUAUUCAGAUCCCAACUUCCUGGAUACAGUCAAGGCUUCAUUCCCUGGUCGCCCUCUACAUGUACACGCCCUCAUCAUGGGAGCACGCGGCACCUGGUGCUCCAGAAACAACACCCUUCUGGAAGCCCUAGGUUUGGACAAAUCCAUCAUCUCCAGCCUCGUCUGCUCCACCAUCCGGGGAGGAAUCUUCACCCACUCCUCCUUCAACAGGAUCGUCUGGCAACGAUGAGGUCCUUCCCAAGCCCACCAUCGCAACGUCUAAACACCAUAAAAUUAAAAUACGUUGUAUAAAUAAAACAUCUCGCUGAGCGUUCAUUCAUUCCCCUCCCCAUUACAGAAAUAAAAUCGUUCUGUAAAUAAAAAUGUAACAAAGCCACGGCGGCAACACCAGCGCCGAAAUCAUUUGUAACCUCACUUUUUACAAAUAAAACAUCCCAUAGCCAAAUGCCUCGUCAUCUAAUUAGUGACGCGCAUGAAUGGAUUAACGAGAUUCUCUCUGUCCCUACCCACUAUCUAGCGAAACCACUGCCAAGGGAACGGGCUUGGAAAAAUUAGCGGGGAAAGAAGACCCUGUUGAGCUUGACUCUAGUCUGGCACUGUAAGGAGACAUGAGAGGUGUAGCAUAAGUG